rnacentral:tRNA from 1 species
CAUUAGAUAACUUAAAGUAAGUUUUGAUCUCUUAAAUCACUCAAUAAUAAUUAACGACUAUUUCUAAUGA